CAAGUAGACCAUGUACAUCUGUUUCCCACCUACUAUAUUUCUUUCAAAUCCAUGAAUCAAAAAAUUGAGUUGACCUAAUUCUAGGACUCCAUCUGUAAUCUUUGUCCACAAAAACAUGUAGGUUGGGGUUGAUCAAGAGGCAGAGAGGAGAUUCAGUAUUGCUGUCCCCAUGUUACAGAUGGUGAAAGUGAGACCUAGAAAACUUAAGUGAGAUAUCUGAAGAUGUAGAACUAAGUCCACUGUUAUUUCUCCUGGGCCCAGAUGUCUGGAAGGAUUGAGUUCAGCCUCCACAUAAGAGAGAAGAAGAUACUGAGUUGAACACAUGCAAAUUGUCAACUACUUUUAUUCUCUGCUGGAAAUAAUCCUCAUGAGUUUGACAGAAAGAAGGCUGUUGAAAGAAACAAACAAAGAAACAAAGAAAGCAUGUGAAUUCAAGAAAUCAGUGAGUGAAGCACUGCACAGCACAUGGUUGUGAGAGCGAUAUGUUAGAAAAGAAGCUGCUUGUGAAGAUUUCACCUAAGCUUUAUCUCAAUACAGUUGCCAUAAUAGAGAAAUGGUGUCUGAGUGGUGUUACUGAUAAGGAAUAAAU
rnacentral:lncRNA from 1 species